AUGGCGAAGCCGAUAUCGAUAGAGGUGUGGAACCCCAGCGGCAAGUACCGCGUGGUGAGCACCAAGUCCAUGCCCGGCACCCGCUGGAUCAAGCUCCUCACUGACAACGACUGCCGCCUCGAGAUAUGCACGGAGAAGAAGACCAUCCUCUCUGUUGACGACAUACUGGCACUCAUCGGUGAUCACUGCCAUGGUGUCAUCGGCCAGCUAACAGAGGACUGGGGGGAAGUGCUCUUCUCUGCGCUCAAGCGUGCCGGCGGGACAGCCUUCAGCAACAUGGCCGUCGGUUACAACAACGUUGAUGUCGAUGCUGCCAACAGGAAUGGCAUCGCCAUCGGCAACACGCCUGGUGUUCUUACCGAGACGACGGCGGAGCUGGCGGCGUCACUGUCGGUGGCGGCUGCCCGGAGGAUCGUUGAGGCCGACCAAUUCAUGAGGGCUGGCCUCUACGACGGAUGGCUUCCGCACUUGUUUGUUGGGAACUUGCUCAAGGGGCAGACUGUUGGAGUGAUCGGAGCUGGCCGCAUCGGCUCAGCUUAUGCAAGGAUGAUGAUUGAGGGGUUCAAGAUGAACUUGAUCUACUUCGAUCUGUACCAGUCCACACGGCUCGAGAAAUUCGUCACAGCGUAUGGCCAGUUCCUGAAAGCCAAUGGUGAGCAGCCUGUGACAUGGAAGAGGGCCUCCAGCAUGGAGGAAGUUCUCAGGGAGGCCGAUGUGAUAAGCCUGCACCCAGUGCUGGACAAGACGACGUACCACCUGAUAAACCCUGAGCGGCUGGCGAUGAUGAAGAAGGAGGCAGUGCUGGUGAACGCCAGCCGUGGCCCGGUGAUCGACGAGGUUGCACUGGUGGAGCACCUGAGGGCGAAUCCCAUGUUCCGUGUUGGCCUCGAUGUUUUUGAGGAUGAGCCUUACAUGAAGCCAGGGCUGGCUGAGAUGAAGAAUGCCGUCGUCGUGCCUCACAUCGCAUCUGCAUCGAAGUGGACGCGUGAAGGGAUGGCGACGCUCGCUGCUCUGAACGUGCUUGGUAAGAUCAAGGGGUACCCGGUGUGGGGGAACCCGAACGCGGUGGAGCCCUUCCUCGACGAGAAGGCGGCGCCGCCCCCUGCCUGCCCAAGCAUCGUUAACGCCAAGCAACUCGGCCUGCCAUCUUCCAAGCUUUAG
rnacentral:rRNA from 1 species